CCCUUAGAUGUCCUGGGCCGCACGCGCGCUACACUGACAUGUUCAACAAGCCUCCUAGUUUGACAGGAUUUGGGAAAUCUUUGAACGCAUGUCGUGAUAGGGAUAGAUCAUUGCAAUUAUUGAUCUUGAACGAGGAAUUCCUAGUAAACGCGAGUCAUCAGCUCGCAUUGAUUACGUCCCUGCCCUUUGUACACACCGCCCGUCGCACCUACCGAUUGAAUGUUUCGGUGAAGAUUCCGGAUAGGACUUUUUUGAUUUAUUUCAAUUCUGUCUUAAAAGCUAUCUAAACCUCAACAUUUAGAGGAAGGUGAAGUCGUAACA
rnacentral:rRNA from 1 species